UGAGGAAUAUUGGUCAAUGGACGGAAGUCUGAACCAGCCAUGCCGCGUGAAGGAUGAAGGCGUUCUGCGUUGUAAACUUCUUUUAUCUGGGAAGAAACCACAGAUUUCUAUUUGUGUUGACGGUACCAGAGGAAUAAGCACCGGCUAACUCCGUGCCAGCAGCCGCGGUAAUACGGAGGGUGCGAGCGUUAUCCGGAUUUACUGGGUUUAAAGGGUGCGUAGGCGGGCUAUUAAGUCAGAGGUGAAAUCUCCGGGCUCAACCUGGAAACUGCCUUUGAUACUAUUAGCCUUGAAUUAUGUUGAGGUUGGCGGAAUAUAACAUGUAGCGGUGAAAUGCUUAGAUAUGUUAUGGAACACCGAUUGCGAAGGCAGCUGGCUAAACAUAUAUUGACGCUGAUGCACGAAAGCGUGGGUAGCGAACA
rnacentral:rRNA from 1 species